GAGGGGUGCCGAGCCAGGAGCCACGCUGGGAGCCGAAGUGUCGGGGAAGCACCGAGCCGUUUGAGAACCCAACUUCGAGGAGGCAGGGUGAUUUCAGUGAAGUUCCUUAUGACUUCCCCUGAAAUUGCUUCCUUAUCAUGGGGGCAAAUGAAAGUACAAGGCUCUAAUA